rnacentral:rRNA from 1 species
UACGAAGGGGGGCUAGCGUUGCUCGGAAUUACUGGGCGUAAAGGGCGCGUAGGCGGUACUUCAAGUCAGGCGUGAAAGCCCCCGGGCUCAACCUGGGAACCGCGCUUGAGACUGGAGAACUAGAGUUCGGGAGAGGAUGGUGGAAUUCCCAGUGUAGAGGUGAAAUUCGUAGAUAUUGGGAAGAACACCGAUGGCGAAGGCAGCCAUCUGGACCGACACUGACGCUGAGGCGCGAAAGCGUGGGGAGCAAACAGG